rfam:Paraburkholderia caribensis strain Bcrs1W chromosome 2, complete sequence.
CGCUGUUCGCGCGACUGGCGCUCAAUCGAGGUGGAUCACCACCGGGGAGCGCGAACCGGGAUGCAGAUUCCGUCACGCCGCGCGCCUGGGCCUUGCCU